rnacentral:other from 1 species
UUUGCCCUGCCCUGUGCGUGAUUCGUAAGCCAAGUCCUUGAACCGUAAGUUAACAAAUCUUGGGGCCUUAACUUCAACGGCGGCUGUCAGGCCUUCACUGGAAGGCAAAAGCCGCUGAUUCGGUCCCACCUGUUUCUAUCGCAGUUCAACAGGAACGGUUUACACACGGCAAUGGUGGGGCACUC